CCUACGGGAGGCUGCAGUGAGGAAUAUUGGUCAAUGGACGAGAGUCUGAACCAGCCAAGUAGCGUGAAGGAUGACUGCCCUAUGGGUUGUAAACUUCUUUUAUAUGGGAAUAAAACGUUCCACGUGUGGGAUUUUGUAUGUACCAUAUGAAUAAGGAUCGGCUAACUCCGUGCCAGCAGCCGCGGUAAUACGGAGGAUCCGAGCGUUAUCCGGAUUUAUUGGGUUUAAAGGGAGCGUAGGUGGAUUGUUAAGUCAGUUGUGAAAGUUUGCGGAUCAACCGUAAAAUUGCAGUUGAAACUGGCAGUCUUGAGUACAGUAGAGGUGGGCGGAAUUCGUGGUGUAGCGGUGAAAUGCUUAGAUAUCACGAAGAAAUCCGAUUGCGAAGGCAGUUCACUGGACUGCAACUGACACUGAGGCUCGAAAGUGAGGGUAUCAAACAGGAUUAGAUACCCCUGUAGUC
rnacentral:rRNA from 1 species